UACGUAGGGUGCGAGCGUUGUCCGGAAUUAUUGGGCGUAAAGAGCUCGUAGGCGGCUUGUCACGUCGGGUGUGAAAGCCCGGGGCUUAACCCCGGGUCUGCAUCCGAUACGGGCAGGCUAGAGUGUGGUAGGGGAGAUCGGAAUUCCUGGUGUAGCGGUGAAAUGCGCAGAUAUCAGGAGGAACACCGGUGGCGAAGGCGGAUCUCUGGGCCAUUACUGACGCUGAGGGGCGAAAGCGAUGGGAGCGAACGAGGA
rnacentral:rRNA from 1 species